rnacentral:rRNA from 1 species
UACGGGGGGAGCAAGCGUUGUCCGGAAUUAUUGGGCGUAAAGAGCUCGUAGGCGGUUUGUCGCGUCGAAUGUGAAAACCCGGGGCUCAACCCCGGGCCUGCAUUCGAUACGGGCAGACUAGAGUUCGGUAGGGGAGUCUGGAAUUCCUGGUGUAGCGGUGAAAUGCGCAGAUAUCAGGAGGAACACCGGUGGCGAAGGCGGGACUCUGGGCCGAUACUGACGCUGAGGAGCGAAAGCGUGGGGAGCAAACAGG